rnacentral:sRNA from 1 species
CCUCACUUGCAGCAGAACAUUUGGAAGAAGUGAUGAAGAAGCUGACACCUGAACUAUUUGAUAGCCAGCCUGACCUCCUGCACCAACUUGUCACCCUCAUGAAUCCCAACACCCUCAUGUCCCAUGGUGUGCCAGAGUACCCCAGAUCAAGCACCCUAUUCUGGUGGAAGUUCGGGGAGGCAGAGGCAGCACCAAGAAGAUGUAGCUUCUACUCUUGGCAUAUAGUGAAAAGAACUAGACGCAUCUCGAUUGAAAACCACAUACCAUUCUCUGCUAUACCCUUUACCAGCAACCUUGCUUAAGUCGAUUUACUUCAUUGUCAGUUUUCCCAUCUGAAAAAUGGGAUUAUGAUAAUGCUUAUCUUUUUGGAUAGUUGAUUGUAUUAAAGAUAAUGUUUGCUUA